rnacentral:misc_RNA from 1 species
GAUGAAGAACGUAUCAAAAUGCGAUACUUGGUGUGAAUUGCAGAAUCCCGUGAACCAUCGAGUUUUUGAACGCAAGUUGCGCCCGAAGCCUUUUGGCCGAGGGCACGUCUGCCUGGGCGUCACGCAUCGCGUCGCCCCCCACAAUUCUCCGUAAAGGGAACAUGUGUUUUGGGGGCGGAUAUUGGUCUCCCGUGCUCAUGGCGUGGUUGGCCGAAAUAGGAGUCCUUUCGAUGGACGCACGAACUAGUGGUGGUCGUAAAAACCCUCGUCUUUUGUUUCGUGCUGUUGGUCGCAAGGUAAACUCUUUAAAAACCCCAAUGUGUCGUCUCUUGACGACGCUUCGACCGCGACCCCAGGUCAGGCGGGACUACCCGCUGAGUUUAAGCAUAUCAAUAAGCGGAGGA